UACGGGGGGGGCAAGCGUUGUUCGGAAUUACUGGGCGUAAAGGGCUCGUAGGCGGCCAACUAAGUCGGAGGUGAAAUCCCCAGGCUUAACCUGGGAACUGCAUCCGAUACUGGAUGGCUUGAAUUCGGGAGAGGGAUGCAGAAUUCCAGGUGUAGCGGUGAAAUGCGUAGAUAUCUGGAGGAAUACCGGUGGCGAAGGCGGCAUCCUGGACCGGCAUUGACGCUGAGGAGCGAAAGCUAGGGGAGCAAACGGG
rnacentral:rRNA from 1 species